UAGACUUUGCAUCAAAUUACUGCGUACACGGUCAUUGUGUACAUAAUGCUUCCUUUCACAGACCUUUCUCCCUCCCCCAACGUUCAUGCUUUUUUUUUUCCCCUUUUCUUCUCUUCCCUCUCUCCUGACCUUCCUUCUUCCUUUCAUCUUCUUUUUUUUCCCUGCCACUCCCCCUCCCCUCCACCUUCUUCCUUCUCCUCCCUUCCUCCUUCACCCUGCGCAGCCCUCCGCCGCGACCGUCUGCGUCCCUCCGCCGCGACUAUUCGCAGUCACCUCCAAAUAUGUUAGAGAUCUUCAGGGUUUUGUACCCUAGAGAUCUCUGAUUCCCCCUUAUUGAAAGAUCUACACAAGGCCAAAUCUUGAGCUCAAGAUCUAGCACUAAAGUUGCUCUUAUGCGUUUAUGAGGUGUUGCAGGGGUUGUUUUGUUUUGGGGAGUGGGGAAGGGAUUAAUUAAAGGUGUUUGCGGUGGGGUUUAUAGUCCUCGUGAGCUGAGCAGGAAAAAAGCAAGAGUGGGAGGAGAUUAUUAGGAUUAAGAAUGAGAUGGGAGGGGAAAGAUGGUGCAUUGUUGGGGACUUCAAUGCUGUUUGUAGUGAGGAGGAAAGGAAAGGGGUGGAGACGAAUCCGAGAAGGAUGGAAAUGAUGUAGUUUUGUGGUGAACCUAGCCUUAGUUGGUAGAAAAUAUAAUUGGUACAAAGAUGACAAAACAACUAUGAGCAGGUUGGACAGGUUUUUGGUAUAUGAGGAAUGACUAACCACAUGGCCAAAUAUGACCCAAUCCAUAACUAAGAAGGAUAUGCAGGGAGAAGAGAAAUUGAAAGCUAAAAUAGAGAUUGAAAAAAAAAGGGUUGAAACGAUUUAAGAACAAGAGCAUGAAUUUUGAAAUUUAAAAGCGAUUCAAAGAAUGUAGUUGGCAAGCGUGAGAUUUAAGGACAUAAAUUCUGAUAGUGAAGAAUUUGAAAGUGUAGAGAGAUGGGCAUAAAUUCUCAGGAAAAUCUUGGAACUCACAAGAAUUGAAAAGCCUCACUUGACAUAGUGCUUUCUUACUUCUCAAAGAGUUUUCUUCUGCAAUUCUGCCAUAGGUUUUACGUUUUCUCUCGUAAUUGUUUUAGUGGGUUGUAGUUGAGCACGUGGAAAUUCCAAUGCAUGUUGUUGGUUGUUUUAAUAAGAAGAAGAUAAAGAGUUGUGACUGUAUAAUUAUAAUUAUUGAAUAAAGAGUCGAAUAUUUGUCUUGUUUA